rnacentral:rRNA from 1 species
UGUGGUUCAACUGAUUUGAAGAGCUUGCUCAGAUAUGACGAUGGACAUUGCAAAGAGUGGCGAACGGGUGAGUAACACGUGGGAAACCUACCUCUUAGCAGGGGAUAACAUUUGGAAACAGAUGCUAAUACCGUAUAACAAUGACAACCGCAUGGUUGUUAUUUAAAAGAUGGUUCUGCUAUCACUAAGAGAUGGUCCCGCGGUGCAUUAGCUAGUUGGUAAGGUAAUGGCUUACCAAGGCGAUGAUGCAUAGCCGAGUUGAGAGACUGAUCGGCCACAAUGGGACUGAGACACGGCCCAUACUCCUACGGGAGGCAGCAGUAGGGAAUCUUCCACAAUGGGCGAAAGCCUGAUGGAGCAACGCCGCGUGUGUGAUGAAGGGUUUCGGCUCGUAAAACACUGUUGUAAGAGAAGAAUGACAUUGAGAGUAACUGUUCAAUGUGUGACGGUAUCUUACCAGAAAGGAACGGCUAAAUACGUGCCAGCAGCCGCGGUAAUACGUAUGUUCCAAGCGUUAUCCG